ensembl:lncRNA
AUGAGAACAGAGCAGACGCCCGAAACCCUGAGAGGGUGUGGUGACGACUGGCAAGCCUCAGUCCUGGAAUGUCAUUCCUCUCGCUGCUCAACACAGGACCUGAGCCCUAGGACCAUGCCUCAGGACUACCUGACAUAAUGACUCCUUGCUGUCCUCAGUCCACCUGGCCGUGCUGCUGCUCCAGUUUCAACUGUUCUGCCUGUGAUUAUUAUUAUUUGACCAUGCUGGUCAUUUAUGAACAUCUUGGCCAUGUUCUGUUAUAAUCUCCACCCGGCACAGCCAGAAGAGGACUGGCCACCCCACAUAGCCUGGUUCCUCUCUAGGUUUCUUCCUAGGUUUUGGCCUUUCUAGGGAGUUUUUCCUAGCCACCGUGCUUCUACACCUGCAUUGCUUGCUGUUUGGGGUUUUAGGCUGGGUUUCUGUACAGCACUUUGAGAUAUCAGCUGAUGUACGAAGGGCUAUAUAAAUACCUUUGAUUUGAUUUACGUGCUACAGCACUUUGUGUUCCCGUUCUGUGAGCGUGUGUGGCCUACCACUUCACAGCUGAGCCGUUGUUGCUCCUAGAUGUUUCCACUUCACAAUAACAGCCCUUGCAGUUGACCGGGGCAGUUCUAGCAGGGCAGAAAUUUGAAGAACAGACUUGUUGGAAAGGUGCGAUCCUAUGACGGUGCAAUGUUGAAAGUCACUGGAGCUAUUCAGUAAGGCCAUUCUACUGCCAAUGUUUGUCUAUGGAAAUUGCAUGGCUGUGUGCUCGACUAUGUGUGGCUGAAAAUAGAUGAAGCCACUCAUUUGAAGGACUUGAACCGGGUGUUUUUACACUUGGUUACUUUUAGCACGUUUGUGAACUUUUUUUGUGCAGUGUGUGUGACCACUCCAAAGGAACUCGGACCCCUUCAAAAGAGCACCCGAAGGGAAUCGAAAUGAGACCAUCUUGAGGUGAUCGGAAUUCUGGUUCCCUUUAUUAGCGCAAUGUGAACAAAGCGCCCAAUGUUCUCGUCAUUAUUCCCGCACCAUACACUAGACUACUGCAACACCGUUUCCCCUGACAUAACCCUCACAUUGGUGCCACAAGAGAGAAGAUAUGCAGGAUCGCGG